GGACCAAAGGGUCUGUUUCCACACUGUAUGAUUUUAUGACUCUAUUUAAGAUUUCUAGCAUUUCCUUUUUUUUUGAUUUGGCAGAUUUGUUUUGACUUUCAUCAGCCAUAUCAAAUUCUUGGCCCAUCUUGUUAGCCCAG